rnacentral:pre_miRNA from 1 species
UAACAUCCACAGGCUGGCUGGCCCCCAGGCUGGCCUGGGUGAAUAUCUCUUCAAAGGCUCACCCUCAAGCAGGACUAGGAGC